rnacentral:misc_RNA from 1 species
GAUGAAGAACGUAGCGAAUUGCGAUAAGUAAUGUGAAUUGCAGAAUUCAGUGAAUCAUCGAAUCUUUGAACGCACAUUGCGCCCGCCAGCAUUCUGGCGGGCAUGCCUGUUCGAGCGUCAUUUCAACCCUCGAGCCCCCCCGGGGGCCUCGGUGUUGGGGGACGGCACACCAGCCGCCCCCGAAAUGCAGUGGCGACCCCGCCGCAGCCUCCCCUGCGUAGUAGCACACACCUCGCACCGGAGCGCGGAGGCGGUCACGCCGUAAAACGCCCAACUUUCUUAGAGUUGACCUCGGAUCAGGUAGGAAUACCCGCUGAACUUAAGCAUAUCAAUAAGCGGAGGA